CAGGUGUCGCAAGACUUGAUAAGGAAGCAGGUGCAAACCCUGCGCGGUCCCGCCGCUGUAUUGCGCAAAUCUGUCCUCAAGUGGCCACUGAAUUCCUUCUGCCAAAAGAGAAGGCUUCGGGAAGGCGAGAGACAGGCGCAGAGCCAGAAGACUUGCCUGAGGG
rnacentral:ncRNA from 1 species